GGGGCCUUAGCUCAGCUGGCAGAGCGCCUGCUUUGCAAGCAGGAAGUCAGGGGUUCGAAUCCCCUAGGCUCCA
rfam:Microbispora sp. ATCC PTA-5024 genomic scaffold scaffold00002, whole genome shotgun sequence.